CACGGUGUCUUGGAAAAUGGAAAGAAUUGGGAGCCUUCCUACCGCUGGUGAAAUCUAGGAGUGGCAGUUGAGGGCUUCUGUUCACAAAGUCUGGCCAUGUUUCUGUAGGGCUGCUGUACUUUGCUGGGCUUCUUCUCCAGUUCCUAGUCUCCUUGGAUUUUCCAGUACCUGGAGCUAUCACCAGUGAAGGCUGUGAAACAGCAAAGAUGUCAGCCUGCCUCUUCCUCUGGGAGCUCCGGCCCAGCGAGGUACAGACCUGUUGCCAGCCCAAAUGCGCCUGCAGGACAAGGCUGGAGACCCUGGUUGGGAGGUCUCACCCAGUCAGGAGGAACGGGAUCAGGGAACUGCUUAAAGAAGCAGUCUGUCCAUGCUUUCACAGAUCAGCUGUGCUGUGCUGGGGCACUGCUUCCACCCCUGGUUGGUGUGGGCUCUCCAAAGCCUGGAGGCCGGAACAGCUAAGUCGCCCAAACAGCAAAGAUGGUGGCCCCUCCCUCCCUCCGGGAGCUCUGUCCCAGGGAGAAUUCAAAUCUCUGUCAGCCAGAGAACACCAGUA
ensembl:lncRNA novel transcript